UACGUAGGGUGCGAGCGUUGUCCGGAAUUAUUGGGCGUAAAGGGCUCGUAGGCGGUUUGUCACGUCGGGAGUGAAAACUCGGGGCUUAACCCCGAGCCUGCUUCCGAUACGGGCAGACUAGAGGUAUGCAGGGGAGAACGGAAUUCCUGGUGUAGCGGUGAAAUGCGCAGAUAUCAGGAAGAACACCCGUGGCGAAGGCGGCUCUCUGGGACGGUACUGACGCUGAGACGCGAAAGCGUGGGGAGCGAACAGG
rnacentral:rRNA from 1 species